ACCACUCCACAUGCUUCUCUCCCAAAGUUGCACACUCAAUGGAAGAGGAGGACUGUGGUUUGAUCAAAGAUAUACAAGAAGCUUGUUGCCCUGCUCGAAAGUCCAAACAAGCUCUGAAGGUCCAUUUGUAGGAAAAGGUAGGAUAGUCAAGUUUCUAAGACUCCGGAGACAAUCAAAUGAGGUGCUACAUGUGGCAGUCUGCCUUUAUUU
rnacentral:snRNA from 1 species